GUAUUAUAUGAAAGGAAUGAGGGAUAACCCUCUAGAUAACAAUGGAAAAAGAUCUAGUAGCCUUCAUCUCAUAUAUGUGGUUAAGAUAUUGCUAUCUACUCUUAGUCAUUUAACCAUGUUUUCCU